rnacentral:rRNA from 3 species
UACGAAGGGGGCUAGCGUUGCUCGGAAUCACUGGGCGUAAAGGGCGCGUAGGCGGACUCUUAAGUCAGGGGUGAAAGCCUGAGGCUCAACCUCAGAACUGCCUUUGAUACUGAGAGUCUCGAGACCGGUAGAGGUAAGUGGAACUGCGAGUGUAGAGGUGAAAUUCGUAGAUAUUCGCAAGAACACCAGUGGCGAAGGCGGCUUACUGGACCGGUUCUGACGCUGAGGCGCGAAAGCGUGGGGAGCAAACAGG